GACGGGGGGGGGCAAGUGUUCUUCGGAAUGACUGGGCGUAAAGAGCGUGUAGGCGGCCAGAUAGGUCUGCUGUGAAAACUCGAGGCUCAACCUCGAGAUGUCGGCGGAAACCAUUUGGCUAGAGUCCGGAAGAGGAAAGUGGAAUUCCUGGUGUAGCGGUGAAAUGCGCAGAUAUCAGGAAGAACACCCGUGGCGAAGGCGGCUUUCUGGGACGGUACUGACGCUGAGACGCGAAAGCGUGGGAGCGAACAGG
rnacentral:rRNA from 1 species